UACGGAGGGUGCAAGCGUUAUCCGGAUUCAUUGGGUUUAAAGGGAGCGUAGGUGGCCUUAUAAGUCAGUGGUGAAAUCCUGUUGCUUAACAACAGAAUUGCCAUUGAUACUGUAGGGCUUGAGUACAGAUGCCGUUGGCGGAAUAUGACAUGUAGUGGUGAAAUACAUAGAGAUGUCAUAGAACACCGAUUGCGAAGGCAGCUGACGAAACUGUAACUGACACUGAGGCUCGAAAGUGCGGGGAUCAAACAGG
rnacentral:rRNA from 1 species